rnacentral:rRNA from 1 species
UACGUAGGGGGCGAGCGUUGUCCGGAGUUACUGGGCGUAAAGCGCUUGUAGGCGGUCCACCAAGUUUGGGGUGACAGUUGCCGACUUAAUCGGCAAAGUGCCUCAAAGACUGGCGGACUUGAGGGCCACAGAGGGACAUGGAACUCCAGGUGUAGUGGUGAAAUACGUAGAUAUCUGGAAGAACACCAAAGGCGAAGGCAGUGUCCUGGGUGGUCGCUGACGCUGAGAGGCGAAAGCCAGGGGAGCGAACGGG